CAUGGAUAUGAUUUAAAGUGAAACAGCCAUAAAAUACGUUAUUUAGUGCGCUGUUGUGGCUAAACAUAUAGAGCCAGAAACUUUACUGGGAGACACUUUUUUGAAAUCGAAUAGAUAUGAUAUAACGAUCGAUUUUGAAAAAUACAUAACAAAUUCGUUAUGUUUAAACGUUUCAUUUAAUCGUACAACGCCUGUUAACGUUACUUGUGUCCAUACGCCGUGAUCAGUUUGACGUGUGUUAUUGAAAACGGAACGUCACAGAUUUCUAAUGCAAACACAGGGAGACUAAAAUUAUGACAACUUGCAAUCAUCUGUAACAGUUUAAAUCGGCGGAAUAGUGUUUGAGGAAUCGUGUUCACAAAAAUUGUGGGAAAAUAAUUAGAAGAAACAGUUCGAAAACAAUAAGGUUUCCGUUGGAAACGGAAAACCUUGAUUAUACACCGAAUGUAAAUAUUUCUUUUUGUCAUCACAUAUUCGUGACCAGAAUGAUAUGCAGAGGUACGCGACUUAAAGCAUAAUUGUAUUGACGUCUUUUAAAACACGGAUUUAAAGUCAAUUUAUUUUGAAGACAAUUACUUAUUGUUUAUACUUUAUAUACGGACCUGUUUAAUUUAAAUAAUGAACGAUCUUCUCGGAGAUUAAUUUUCAGAACAAAGACACAAAACGUCCUUGUUUGAUCAGUGAACAGCACUUGAAUUUACAAUAUACAGUUAAACUGUCUUGUUUGACAAGGAUUGUCUAAAUAUAAAUUGUCAUUAUUUUACACAGCAUUUCAAAACUGCAUUCUUACGACUGGAUGUAACCAUAGAUUACAUGUUGAAAUAUGACAGAUAUAUUUCACAAAGUUGUGCAGGUGAAUCAAGCACUAAUUUCAUCCAACAGUUCUUUAAGAAUUUUCUCAUGUAUUAAGUCCCACUUGAAGACAUCCCCCUGGGGAACUAUCUUUUUCUUUAUGCCUCUGAGGAGUUUACAUAUAGUAGAGCAACAAGUGUUCUUGAACUACCUGAGAUACACAAACUAAUUGGAUAUGUUUAAGUGAGAAAAUUAGUGUAUUAGGACUUCCUGAACUGGGGAGUAUAUGACUCUCAUCCGCUUAGCACCACGGAGACCGAGAUAAGCACCUGCCUUUUGCGACUUCACGGUGCAGGGAAGAAUUUAACCUAAUUGCUUAAAUCAGGAAGCUUGCUAAAUCUUUGGAUCCUGCUUGGAUCUAGGUCUAGGCAAGCAAUGCUCUCAAGUUGUUAAUGUUUUACUCAAACAUCCCUGUAGAAACUAUUAGAAUUCAAGUUAAUAUACAUAUAAAGAUUGCAUACAUAUACAGUUAAUACAUACUUGAAUACAUUCAUACAGCCACAUAAAGUACAUUAAUCUAACUUAUCUAUUUUUCUUUCAGCCAUCCAGGGGAUUUCAUCUGGACAAUCCAAAUUUGUUAAGAAAUCAGAUUCAGGAAAAUGGAGAUUAAUAAUGGAAUAAGUUUAGUGGGAGAAACAAAUGGUACAACAGACCAAGGAUACAGUGUAACAGGAAUAACCCCAGUGGUUAUUAAUGGGGCUAUCCAGCUGUCGCAAGAGUGGUGGGGGUGGGGGAAGUACGUUCUCCAGUGGGUCAUCCUAUUUCUGUUUAAAAAGAUGAUGUACUAAGGACCUAAGAGGAUGGCCAGAUGCUCAAACAAUACAGUCCACUUCAUUAUCUUCAAACUUAUUGACUUUACGUAACUUAUGCUUAUAACUUUCGGACACAAAAACUCUUUGUAAUCUGUUUAAUUAUUGCAUGUGCAUGGUCAAUGGCAACUUAAAUGUGUAAGGUCAGGUAUGGGACACCUUGAUAUAUCAAUGUGGAUGAAAGUACGCCAUAUUCAAAAUAUACUGUAGAUUCCUUAUUUUACGCAUUAGUACAUAAGGUGGCUCACUACACCUUUAAAUAUUUCUCAAAUCAGCAGAAAAUUACUUGACUAUGAUAGAUAUCAUAGUUGAAAAGAAGUAUGUACGUCUAAUAGGCAAAAACAUGUGCAAUUUUGGAUGAAAAAUUACAUUUUCAAAAAUUCUUAAUUCAGUAAAUAUGAACAAAAGCUCCAGACGGUUUCGAACUCACGAUAUGCGGUUCAGAAGCCCAAUACUUUUUUUUUUUUUUUUUUAGAAGCCCAAUACUUAAGCCACUGAGCUACGACGAUAUACAACCGUAUCGAGCGAUAUAAACAUUUGAACAAAAUAUUUAAAUCGCCAUCUUAUGACGUAGUGUCUUAAAAAGUAUAAGUCUGGGUGUAGUAUUGUGCCUUAAUUCGGACAUUCAACUGUUUUGUAUCAAAUCACGACAAUAUAAAAUGCAAACACCAACUUUUAUCACAGUUUUCAUGUAGUUUGAAUCUGUCCUAAAAAUAAAAGUGAGAUUUUAAAAUCCUCAAGAAGUGCCUCUCGUGAUUAAAUGUUGAUAUUAAUUCCUCACAUUCAAUUUGGAAUCUACAGUAAUUAUUUUUAUUCAAAUUUUCAGUAUGUACAAUAUAGGCCAUAAUAUUUUUUUAAAUUAAAUAUUUUUUUAAAAAAGGAAAAAAAUUGGGAAAGCCCAGGUGGGAUUUCAACUCAUGACUUGCUGUGAAACUUCAAGAAUGUAAAAUGAAAUACAUGUUUAAUUUUAUUAAACUAUAUGUAUGUAAAAUUUUAUUGUUUAAUUCAAAAGAAAGAAUGUCACAAAACAGAGAUGACCCAUACCUACUUAAGAUCUUUGGAUUUCAACAUUUUGUAUAGAAUGCAGUUGGUUUUCAUCAUUUUCAAGUCAUAAUGCUCUAAACAGAGACGAAUUUCUCUUUUGCUUUAUAUUUUAGGUUAUAUCAUUUAAGAAUUUAUAUCCAGAAAUUUUUUCUGCUUGUUAUAAUGGACAGACUUUGAAGUUUAAUUAGAUUUGCAUUCAGGAUUUGAUAACAUGUCAUCAUGUUCUGUAAUAUUGUAAAAUUACCAAUCUGUUCUUUUCUUAGUACGGAAAUUAAAGAUCUUCAAUUUAUUCAAUAGCUUACCGGUAAAUGUCAUCUACCGUUACCGGUACAUAUGUAUUGUAAAACUUAUGCAAUUUUCUUUGUUCAAAUAUGGAUAAAGUGACUACACUCCAGCUAAUCUUAUGUCUCUCAGGUAAAACUUGUUUCUCAAAUAUUACAGGAAAAACCCAAGAAGGGCCAAUUGCUAGCUAAAUUAUUAAUAGUGCCAUUGUGUUGAGUAAACUUCAUGUGAAAACUAGAUCUGUAGUGUUAAGUUUAUUAAACAUAGAUAAUUAUACAUACAGUAUUUACAUUCUGUACAUACUAUCUGGUAUGAACACAAACCCGAUAAGAGACCCUAUUAAUCUGAGUCAGUACAAUGUACUGUAAAUGUACUUAAUUAAGCAGAAAUUAUAAGUUGAUGCAUUUUCAUGUUAAUUCCUCUUUGAAGUAAUUCAAAUUCUAAUUAACAUAUAAUGAUUGAAUCAAGUACAUAGAGAAUGUUAGAUCCAUAUGCAUUAACUUGUGAUUAUGUGAUAAUCCUUUUCAGGAAGUUGAUAGAAACUGCUAUUUUAUGAACAUUAACAGUACUAGUACCUGUUAUCUGAAUUUGUAGAUUAGUUAAUCAUGGUGAAGUUGCACUUGUUAUUAUUGAAAAUUGUGAUAUAUUUUACAAGAUAAGGGAAGCAAUCGUGCUAAAAAUUCAAGAAAUGAUUUUAGGAAGCUUGUAUGUCAACAAAUUCAGAUCUGUUUUAAAAUUUUACAUCUGAUGAUAUUGGCCAAAAAUUAUUUAUUGACUAGUAGUAAUUAGAAACAAUAUAUCACAAUGAUUUUUGAAUAAAAUUUGAAUAUUUUUUAUUUUCUUUAUAGUUUACAGAACUCUUUAUCUAAGAGAAGAUUAAUAUAGCCCAUAAAUCGCCAUUAUCAUGCAACCUUCUUUAUUAAGGUCUUCCGUUUCCAACGGAAGACCUUGUACUGAUUCUGUUGGAAAUUCUUCAUUAUUAUUUUUCUUCUUCUUUUUCUUCUAGACGUUUCUUUAAACUGUAAUAUCUCGCUUGUUUGUCAUUAGAUUUAUUCAAACUUUCAGGGUUUAUUGGAAAUGACAAUAGCUUACUUUAGCACAAAAUAUUUUGAAAUCGCUACUUCCGGUUUUGAGUUAUUCCCCUUUGAAUAUUUUUUUAGUGGGUCUCGUGUACCUGCAAAGGCUCCGAGUUGAUCCGUAGCAAGUAGUUUUAAUUUACAAAUCUUUAAUGUAGACAUCUUGAACGUUGUCCUCCUAGUUUUAGAUGUUUGAUUAACCCACGUUUACUUCUUAAAAAAUUACAUCGAAAUUAAUGUUUCAAAAAAUGUAAAAUUUUGCUUAUAUCUUUGCUCAAUAACUUUUUAAUUGUAAAUUUUUUCUUGUCACAUAUAUAACAAAAGUUGUGCAGAAUAUUUAGAGCUUUCAUUUGAUACCAUAAAAAAGGGGCUAGCCCCUAAAAUGAGGGGUCUAGAUCCCUUAAAAGUCUUUGCCUCAUAACUCUAAAACGGUAAAUUUUUCGAUAUGGGCGUCGCUGCAAAAAAUGUUGUUUGUGACUUUAUUGAUCUCAUAAAACUGUUUUUGUGUUCGGUAGUGCAUAAUAUGAGGGUAAAAAGUAAUACGUGUUGACCAGUACUCGCGGCAAUUUGGUCAAGUUAACGAAACUCUCCCUCGCCCGCGGUCGAGAAAAUCGGUCACCAUGGUCGCGGCUGGGCUACCUAGCGGUCAGCGGUUAUCUAAUACACGAGAGUUGCGUCUCUCAAAUAUGAGUUUAUUUAGCCGCAAACUCAAGAACUGUUUUAGUUUUGAUUACACAUAAAAGGACUAAACGAUUAGGUGUCAAUUAAGAAAUCGUUCAGUUAAUUAAUACAAGCAAUGUCAUUCUCAAUCUAAAGCAAUAUCAGACAUAGAUCAAUUGUGGGUUUCAAGUUUAAAAUAAAGAACUUCUAUUUGAUAGAAUAUGGUCAUUAUACUGCAAGCUUUUCAAAUCUUCCUGGGUUCUGAGCUGUGCGUGUCUGUGCGUUGUACCUUUACGUAAUCUAUCCUUCGUCCACGGCCGAGGAGAUCAGCCACGGCUGCACUACCUAGCAUUAAGCGGUUAUCUAAUACACAAGUUUCGCACACCGCGACGCACACUUAGAUGAAUAUGAACGUGUUUGAGUUUAUAUAGCCGUAAAUACAAGAACUGUUUUAAAUUUAUGUUAUAAAAGUUUGUCCAUCUUGUAUUUAUUUUAUUAAAAAUUUGAGUGUAAGUGAAUAUUAAUGAACGAAAUUACUCCAAAUCGGAAACAUCGUCAGACAUAAAUUAAUGGUUGGUUUGUAUAUCUAAAAAAUUUUAACCCCCCCCCCCCCACAAAUAUUGAUGAUGAUGAUCAUCCCUCGCACAUGGCCGAGGAGAUCCAGCGCGAGUGGACAAGUGAUCCGCGGUCGGCUCGUGUCCUUAUCACGCGUUCAUGUUUCAUAUUUUGCACGGAGAGAACUAUAUUUUAUUAUGUUUUCAACUAUUAUACAGGUUUAAGAUGAAAAGAUAAAUUUAUUUAACUUGUACAGUUGAUUAAGCAUUGAUUCAAUUAUACGAUAGCGUACAAGGUAGUUUAAAAAUCAAAUCAAAUUAUAAUCAAAGGUCUAUGUUACAUGUUUGCAGUAGGUGCUAGCACGAUAAAAGAAUGUCCUGAAUUGUCCUGAAUUGAGGCAUUUGAUGAUUAUUUUAAAGAAUAUUCACAUGAGUUUUAAACAACUUAAGAUUAGGUUAUAUCGGUCACAUAUUAAUCACUCUGUAGUUUUUUCUACAUGGUUGUUCGUUUCAGUGUGGAAGCGAACUCAUUGCUGCCCCCCCCCCUCCUCCCGCCCCUCUGACAAGUGCUCGCGCUGGAUAUUUUUUAAAUUGGCGAAAAGAUAUCCAGAUCUGUCGAAAAUUAUUUUUGGUGACUUCUUCAUAUGUGUAACAUUUUCUCCUCAACGUGUUUCAUUUUCCCACCCGUUUGUUUAUUCGGUCAGACUGUGUUAAUUCAAUCGCCACGUGCGACCGAAAAUCUUGUGUCGCUUCUCACAACAUAUGUAAUUGAGUAACAGUUGGAAGGGUGCUUUUAUAAACAAUAAGACUAUUAUUCGAAGUCAAUCAUCUUCACAUCGAAGAUGUGAAAUCAUAACCUGAGAAUGUGGCUAAUAAAUUAACCUGUUAAACACGUUAAACUUCUAUAGUUAUGAACAGAAUAAUUCAUAAUGUAUUAUAAUUAAAAGUAUGCAGUCAAAGGAAAUUUUGUUCUUGGGAAAUACGACAACAUUAUGCAAUGCAGUCGAUCGUCAUAGAAAUCAUCAAAGUACUGCAAGUGUCGACAGAUUUCUUAUUUCUUUGAAAGACCAUGAUAAUUCACUUGACUUGCAGACCAUAAUAUAGUGACAUACAUGUAUCUGCCUCCCAAAAAUAUAUGCGCUUCUCAAAGUUACACUUAAGUGAGAUAGAUGUGCGUUAUUGGGGAUUUUAUUUAUUGCUAAUUGUUUGAAAAUUGAUAAAAAAAAAGUUUUUAAUUGAAGUUGUGUAUUAUGAGGUUGUAAUGCAACUUAAUUUACUUACAAGGUUAGCUACAGCCAGUGGAAUACUAAUUUUAGCUGAACAAUGAAUACCCAAUAUAUUAAAAUACAAGAUAAAUAGUUUCCAGAACUAUAAUACUAUGCAUGUGUAUAUGAAGGUUGCACUCUGAUUUGUAUGGCUGUAGGUGGGGAGGUAAAGGUGUAUCGAUGUACAUUCAAUGUAUGACUGCACAUACAGAUUCCUGACCGUGGCUACAGACGAUAACCAUGAUAGUCCUUUAAUACAUCAAUGCGCAGUUUGAUGUAGGAACUGACCAGUUUCAUAACUUCUUCGAAUUUCUCUAACACGGACUGUCUAAUUCCUUUCCAGAAUUCCAAUUUACGCAAGCGCAAUUGAAGUUUUUUUUUCAAUUUAAUUAGUCAACCCACUGACAUAAAAAUAAGGAUUUUGCAUAUUAUUACAUUGUCGAGAGAAGUAAUAUUCAUUUCUGUAAAUAAGGUUAUUUAAUUCACAUUACAUAGCGGUGUCUCUAUGAAACAGCGCCAUCCGGUGUAAAAUUUAGAUGCUCGCUUUUGCAUAAAUUCUCCCACUGAUCUUUUUUUUUUUAGCUGAUUAUAUAUUAUUUUGAAUGUCCAAGUCUAGUCGUAUCGUUAAUUAAUAUCAGACGACACACAUUUCCCUGUAGAAAAGUUCAGAGAAGCCAUCAAUUUUGACUAAUUACUAAAUUUUGUCAGCAGGUAAUAAUUUUAAACUUGCACAUAGUCUUCAAAAAUUUAGAAAGAUUUAAAUAAAGAAGUUAUCCCAUAGAAAAGGUUACGUGUUUUGCAGGCGGGUUCGGUUAAAAAAAAAUACAAUUCCUGAUAUGAAUUAUGAGUACAUACUGUUUAUAACAAUGCUUGCUACCCUUUGAAAAUUUAACUCGCCAUUAAACAUCUCAUUUUUAAAGAAUUUUUGAAACGAUUACACAAACUGUGUUCGACAAAUAGUUUUCCUAAAACAUUUUCUUCCUUUCUUUUUCAAAACACGUUUUAUAUACAGGCUUUCAAUCACAACACGUUUUAUAACAAAAGCAGAACUGAAAGUUUAGUCAUUUUAAUCGUUUGACACCAUAUCACAAUAAUUUUCAACCCGCAGCAACAACGGAAGACCUACUCGUGGCUUUGCCACGAGCUCUGCUCUAGUUUUAUAUCAAUUCUUUGUCAAGUUGGAGCUAGAUUAUCUAUGGUUAUCACAGAUCCUUCAUUUCCUGUAACUAAUUGUUAC